rnacentral:sRNA from 1 species
UCUGAUGAAAUAGAGCACAAAGAAUACCUUAAACAGAGAAAACCAUGAUCGUUUGUAGAAGGGUGGCACUCUUUUCCA